CUCUGCACACAGAGUCGCCAUGCCCAGAGUGUCUGACCAGUGGAUCCAUUCACCUGUGGUGGCCAAAGUCAUCAACAGCCUGUGCUUCUUGCUUACCCAGGAGAUUUUUAACUGCUCAGUUCUAAGCUCUCCCAACAGCUUCCUGCACCUGCAACUCUAAAUACACCCUCCUUUCCAGAUCUUCAUUGCUGUUCUCUCUGCCUGAAGAAUUGGAAGUUGUCUCAGACAGUCUCUCCCAGCCCUCGUGUUGGUGCUGUCAGGAUCAGACCUCCCCUGCCGGCUACAGAGGAUGAUGACAAUUUAUGCAGCUGCUGAAGCACAGGCAAUUUCUCAAACUCCUUAACACACCUGGGACCAUCAGCUCAGGCAGAGGAGAUUUCAGAAGACUUCUCCUUUACAGCUCUCUAAGCCAUAAAAGGACCAGCAUGAGAUAUUCUGAGGUCCUUCUGUCUCACAGACAGCAGGUAAAACUGGCCAAGGAUACUAUACUAACAGGCGGCAACAAGGCAAAUGGCAGGACCAUGACUCUGGAUUUCAGGAGAGCACGCUUUAACAUCUUUAAGGUGCUGCUUGGAAGAAUCCCAUGGGUAGCAGUUCUGAGUAGAAGAUGGAUGCACAAGAGCUGGAUGUUUUUCAAGAGUCACCUCUUCCAGACUUAAGAAUGGUCCAUCGUUGUGUGCAGGAAAUCAAUCAAAAGUGACACAAGUCCACAAGGUAGUCCCAAUUAAAAUCCAACAUAAAAAAAGAGGUGUUUAAGAAAGAAGCAGGGAGAGGGGACAGGUGACCAGGAGGAAAACAGAGCCGCUGAGCAUCCAGGCAUAGGUAUAGGAAAGCCAGAACAGAGCAAACAAAGUAUGUCAAGGGACAUGAAGAGCAGCAAGAAAUGCAAGCAAAUCGAUGUCAAAAUGAAGCCUAUAGAAUGUGGCUCUGCUGUUGAACACAGCAGGAAACCUGGUGACAAAGGAUUAGGAGAAGGCAUUCAAUGAUUUCUUUACCUUGUUUUUUACUGCUAAGAUUUGCCCUCAGGAAUCACAGCCCAUGAGACCAGUGUGGAGGUUUGGAACAAUGAAAACUAGACAAGUAACAAGAUAGAGAACAGUUAAACAAAGUGAACACAUAAAAGUCCAGUGGAUCUGAUGGAAAAUAAGAAGUAAUCGCAUGAAAAAUGCUGAGGGAGCUUGGUAAUGUCACUGUAAGACCACUCAUAUCUAUCUUCAAAAGAUCAUGGUAAUUGGAGGAAGUUCCUGCAGAUUGGAGGAAAUUAAAUAUCGCUCUAUUCUUCAAGAGAGGAGUAUCCAGGGAGAAAGAGACUUGUCAGCUUUCCUUUGAUCUCUAGGAAGGUUAUAGAGCAAGUUCUUCUGGAAAACAUUUCCAAACUUAUUAAGGACUAGGUGAUUGGCAGUAGUCACUGUGGAUUUACAAGCAGCCAGCUGUGCCUGAUAAACCUGAGAGCCUUUUCUGCUGAAACAAGUGACUGAAAGGACAAAGGGGAGACCACUGCAUGGGUGUUGGUCCUUUUGACUUUAGUGCUAUCUCCAAGAACAUCCUCACAGACAAACCUCUGAAGUGUAGACUAGACAAAUGGACAUCAAGAUAUAUUGAUAACAGGCUGAAUUGCUGGAAUCAGAGGAUUGUGAUCAGUAGUGAUCACCCCAGCUGGAGCUCAGUCAUUAGUUGUGUACCCCAGGGGUCUGACACUGUUUAACAGCUUCGUUAUUACCUGGAUUACGAGACACGCUGUAAUCGAGUAUGCUGUUGAAGAAAACUGGAAGGAAUAGCAGAUACAACACUCUACACAAGGAGAAACUAAGGCAGCUGGGACUGUUCAGUCUGAAGAUGGGAAGGCUGAGUAGGAUCUUAUCAUGUGUAUAAAUUCCUGGUUGGGGAAUUGAGGGAAAGAAGACAGAGCCAGACUCUUCUCAGCAGCUCAAGGACAGGACAAGAAGCAAUGAGCACACACUGAAACACAGAAAAAUGUGUAUGAAGAUCAGGAAACACUUUUCUUACUGUGAAAAUGGUUGACCACUGGCACAAGUUUCCCAGAGAAGUUGUGGGUUGCCUAUCCUUGGAGAUAUUCGAAGACCAGCUGGACACAGACCUGAGCAACCUGCUCUAGCUGAUGGUGCUUUAAGCAGGAGGGUUCGGCGACUUCCAAGGGUCCCUUCUAGUCUCAACUACUCUGUCUUGCUGUGACACAAAUAAGUGAACCUGCUUUCCUUAGAUUUCCUCCUGAUUAUGGAAAUCACAUAAAAGAUGUAACAACAACAGGCUCAGUCAUUUCCUCUACCACAUAGUGGGUUUAUUACAGUUUUAAUACAAAGACUUCCCGAGAUUAAGUCAUUAAUGAAACAUGCUGAUGAACUGCCAUGCUAAUGAGUUGAAGGUAUCAUUGACACAAGUCAGGUAUAUUAACAUUGAAUAGGACAAGUAUCUCUUGAAUAUAGGAAUGUAGAGGUCACAUUCAUUUCUUAACUCUGAGGAGGAGAGGCUUGAAGGCCAAUAUCCCACACAGAGCAUAUAAUCAAUAUAUGCUACAGUUCUCCUGUCAGACAGAAGACAGUAAGAGUUUGAAGAGCCAGUUAGAGGACUGCCUUCUCAAAAAGAAUGUGUAAACUUCUCUUGGCCCUAGGGAGUUUCCUUUUUAUAAAUAUGGUGAUAGCAUUUCAGUAUCUUUUAUGAUACCUUGUCUUGUUUCUUUUCCAGCAGAACUGGGUUUAUUUUGGAAAGCACCUCUUUGCCACAAUGACUGUGUGCACACAAUAUAAAAAACAGUCUACAAAUACAAGAAACUGGGCCCAAGCAGAUCAAAAAGGGUGUUUUUCCAUAGAUAUUGAGGUACCCCUUGGAGCCUGGCUCUAGAAGGAUGAAAGUGCCUAUCCUACCCCCUUCCAUUUUUAGAAAAACUAGUCCCUGAAGAGCAUAAGCCUAUUCCAGCUCUUCAGUGUGUUUAAAUGAACACUGUAUGGGAACAUUAAUAGCAGGAUCCCCCAGGAGUUGCCUGUUUACACCACAACGCUUCAUAUUAGUCAGCCUACCAACAAUGCAUUCAUUGUGUUUCACAUAAGCCUGCAGUGUUCUUCAAUGCACAGAGAAAUAAACACAAUACAGGCAUUGCCAUCAUGUUUUUUACUACUUUUAACAUUGAUACAUUAAAGGCAUUUUCCAGGAGGACUUACCAGACA